rnacentral:rRNA from 1 species
AGGAUGAACGCUAGCUACAGGCUUAACACAUGCAAGUCGAGGGGCAUCAGGGCGAUAGCUUGCUAUUGCCGCUGGCGACCGGCGCACGGGUGAGUAACGCGUAUCCAACCUCCCCCUUAGUAGAGGAUAGCCCGGCGAAAGUCGGAUUAAUACUCUAUGUUCUUCAAUGCGGACAUCUAACUUGAAGCAAAGAUUGAUCGCUAAGGGAUGGGGAUGCGUCUGAUUAGCUUGUCGGCGGGGUAACGGCCCACCGAGGCGACGAUCAGUAGGGGUUCUGAGAGGAAGGUCCCCCACAUUGGUACUGAGACACGGACCAAACUCCUACGGGAGGCAGCAGUGAGGAAUAUUGGUCAAUGGGCGUAGGCCUGAACCAGCCAAGUAGCGUGCAGGGAAUGACUGCCCUAUGGGUUGUAAACUGCUUUUAUGCGGGAAUAAAGUCAGGUACGUGUACCUGUUUGUAUGUACCGCAUGAAUAAGGACCGGCUAAUUCCGUGCCAGCCGCAGC